GCCAGCGUGGCAUAGUGGCUUGUGUAUUGGACUAGAACUCUUAAGACCAGGGUUUGAUUCCCAGCUUGGACA